rnacentral:tRNA from 2 species
GUCCCCAUCGUCUAGCCUGGUCCAGGACACCGGCCUUUCACGCCGAUAACAGGGGUUCAAAUCCCCUUGGGGACGCCA